rnacentral:misc_RNA from 1 species
GACUCUGGGAUGCUGCCAUUGCUGGUAGCUUCUUCUGGCUGCUGGUUUUGGGGAGGUGGGUAUCUGUUGGCAAAAAUACAUAAUAAUCUAAACCAACACAGCACGAACACACAGACACAUAAACAACUGUCAGUUUGGCUUUUGUGAGAUAGAAAAGAAAGAAAGAAUUGGCCUUUGGGUUUUAAGAGGGAGAGGAUGGAUGACCGAGUUUUUCUCUGGAGGACAAGGAGAUCUUGGGUUGUGGCAGAGACAGUAGUGAUAAGCCGCAGCAGCAGCAGUAGCAGCAGCAGAAGCAGAAGCAGAAGCAG